GUUACUAGUACGGUUAGUGUCCACUGGUUUGGUACCUGGCCCGGCUAGGAGACAGAGCGUGCUGCACAAUAAACAGUGCCACUGAAAACUGUAAUGACCGACAUAUCUUCAUUUGCCACACUAAACGGUGCAUCAGUAAGGCGGUAUUUCUGAUGCACGUUUGCAAACCGCAGCCGCAAAGCUCAAGGAAAGCCGCCUACAGGAAGCAGUGCAAUCCGGGAAGCUGUUGCCAUGAUACCCUCCUGCUGAGCCUGUCCUCCUCAGCUUACUCCUGUUUGACCUGGCAGCCCGGAUUUUGUUUCUCUGACUCGGCAGAAACAUUUCAGGCCACCUGUACGUGACUCCAUUUCGGGCACCCCCGCCCCCCCGUGACUGGUCGCCGGCUCCCCUGCAGACCUGUUUGUCUCCCUUUUUGCCCAUUGAUCUUCUCACAGUGGAUAUCCCCAGCAAGAACCAUUACUCACUGUCUCGACCAUAUAAAGAGGGCAAGUGAGCCAAAUAUCGGUGUCCCAUUGGGGGGAAUCCAAGAUUCUGCCUGACAGAUCUGCCUGAAACUUUGUAAUAAAUGACAAGCACAUUUCAAAUUCUCUACAACCCGGCAGCAUCUUGUCAGUAUGUUGGCACUUUGAUACCAGAUAAAUGGACACGAACCACACUAGCUUAGCACCACAAUAUGACCAUUAUUUAAUGCUGCUGGGGUGUUUACACAGCUGAAUAUACAUUGGGUCUAGCAUCCCGCUGAGUAUCAACAGAACCCUGCUGCAUUUAUACACUUAUUGUUUCAGAAUCAACAACAGGCCUUAGACUCCUGUACCUAUCUUGUAAUCUAUAUUUCAGUGUAUCCUUCAAUAAA